rnacentral:rRNA from 1 species
AUUGAACGCUGGCGGCAGGCCUAACACAUGCAAGUCGAGCGAGCGGCGGACGGGUGAGUAAUGUAUGGGGACUGCCCGAUAGAGGGGGAUAACUACUGGAAACGGUGGCUAAUACCGCAUACUAUCGGAUAACCCAUAUGGGAUUAGCUAGUAGGUGGGGUAAAGGCUCACCUAGGCGACGAUCUCUAGCUGGUCUGAGAGGAUGUUCGGCCAAACUGGGACUGAGACACGGCCCAGACUCCUACGGAGGCAGCAGUGGGGAAUAUUGCACAAUGGGCGCAAGCCUGAUGCAGCAAUGCCGCGUGAAUGAAGAAGGCCUUCGGGUUGUAAAGUUCUUUCGGUAGCGAGGCGUUAACGACAGAAGAAGCACCGGCUAACUCCGUGCCAGCGGCCGCGGUAAUAC